AUCAAAAAUGAGAUAGGCCCUCAUGCAUCCAGCAAUCAGAGCAACGGCACAGCAGAUCAGCCUCAUCCCAGGAUUGUCCAUUAGCUCCAGUGAAUCCCUUACCAGGAACGUGAAAAUCUCCCCCAUGCAUUUGUUUACACACACAGAGCAUGCAUGAGCAGUCCUUUUAAAGUACAAUUAGGAGGCAAGUAAUGCUAGCCCACAGGACCAACAUGAUCAUAAGAUCUCAUCCAGAUCAUGAAGAGCACGCUGUCAAGUGAGACCACAGCAAAGACCCUGGAGCUAGUUCAGCCUACCCUCACUCCUAAAACAGUGACGCUGGACCCUUGCUGUACAACCAUCCCAAGCAAAGAAGCACAGCUGGAAGUCAACAGGAAAACACAGACAUGCUUAUUUCAGGACCUGUUCCAAAUCUGACAUGUCACAGCACUGAUCUGCAAAGACAUCAUGGCUCCCAGCCGCACCACAUCAGGUAUGACCAUCACUUGCGUAGUGCAGGCAUGCUGAGAAAACUCUGGUAUUUAGGACACCAGAAGAACUAGAGUUAAACCUCUUAAGUGAAUCAGAAGAGAAAAAUCAACACUUGGCUUCCACAGAACUGAGCUGCUAGGUGCAGGUUUCAAGGCUAACGGGGUACCAGCUGGUUUGUCCAAGACCAGUUCUUAGGAUGAGUCCACCUUUUGGCACAGAGUGGAUGAUAGCUGGAAGAGACAGACUGCAUGACUGGAAGUCAAAAGGUUAAUAGUCUGGGUGACACUGGCUGUCAGGUUGUUUUGAACUUGCGUGUGCAUGAGGAAUGGAGAUUGACAGCUCUGGACAGCGAGCAGCUCUGUCUCUGAGGAAAAGCUCCAGCUGAGAGGAUGCUCCAUGGGCCAGCAUUGGUCCAUGCUUAGGGUGGGCUGCCUGCUAGCAGGAGAGGUGUCACCAAAGCCAGAAACACUGCCAGGUGCAGCAGCCUUGGUCUUGAGCCACUUCUACUUAUGGAAGGCUAAUAGAGAAGGCUAAUAAAAGACUAACGAAGGAUUAGCUACCUCUACUAAAAAAGGAAGAGAUCCUUGCUGAAGAGAUGGGAAGGUGCCUCCAAGUUCCUGCCAGGUGACAUCCCAAACGAUGGAUGGUGUUUUACAUUGAUCAAACUUUGUAGGAAAGCUUAUGAAAGUAUCCUGAUCAUCCUCCCUUUCCAACACUGUGUUUCCUGUUCAGAUGCUAACUAAAGUAGUAAUGACUUUGUAAAGCAAGACAGCUAAUGCAGGAGUAACUGCUGCACAGAUGUGCCCAAGGCAUCCAUCCAUGAAAAAUACAGGAACAAAAAAGCUCAAGGGGAAGACUAUUAAUAAACACAGCACUCUCAAUAAAGGUGCCAAAACUGU
ensembl:lncRNA